AACGAACGCUGGCGGCAGGUCUUAGGCAUGCAAGUCGAACGGGUGUAGCAAUACACUAGUGGCGCACGAGUGAGUAACGCGUGGGAAUCUACCUAUCUCUGGGGAAUAACGUUUGGAAACGAACGCUAAUACCGCAUACGCCCGCAAGGGGAAAGAUUUAUCGGAGAUAGAUGAGCCCGCGUUGGAUUAGCUUGUUGGUGGGGUAACGGCCUACCAAGGCGAUGAUCCAUAGCUGGUCUGAGAGGACGAUCAGCCACGCUGGAACUGAGACACGGUCCAGACUCCUACGGGAGGCAGCAGCUAAGAAUAUUGGGCAAUGGGGGAAACCCUGACCCAGCCAUGCCGCGUGAAUGAAGAAGGCCUUCGGGUUGUAAAGUUCUUUUAGUCGUGAAGAUGAUGACAGUAGCGACAGAAAAAGCACCGGCUAACUUCGUGCCAGCAGCCGCCGUAAUAC
rnacentral:rRNA from 1 species